rnacentral:rRNA from 2 species
AAAGCCUGAUCCAGCCAUGCCGCGUGUGUGAAGAAGGUCUUCGGAUUGUAAAGCACUUUAAGUUGGGAGGAAGGGUUUCUGGCUAAUAUCCAGGAAUUUUGACGUUACCGACAGAAUAAGCACCGGCUAACUUCGUGCCAGCAGCCGCGGUAAUACGUAGGGGGCGAGCGUUGUCCGGAUUUACUGGGCGUAAAGGGUGCGUAGGCGGCCUUGUAAGUCAGAUGUGAAAGGCUACGGCUCAACCGUAGUAAGCAUUUGAAACUGCAGGGCUUGAGUGCAGGAGAGGAGAGUGGAAUUCCUAGUGUAGCGGUGAAAUGCGUAGAUAUUAGGAGGAACACCAGUGGCGAAGGCGACUCUCUGGACUGUAACUGACGCUGAGGCACGAAAGCGUGGGGAGCAAACA